UACCUUACCUUGAAUCAAUUGAACUUUGCGUUGAUUUGCACUUUUGCAAUCUUCUUUGAGAUAGUAAUCUGUCUCCUAAGUCCCUAUUUUGGGCAGACCUUAUCUUGCUCAAGCAAGUGGCGGUCCUCCUUUGAUGCUUAUCUUGGAGCUUCCUUCAAGUUGCGCAUCCUCACUUCAUAAGUUUCCUCUUUCUCAAUCUCUUCCAUUUUAAUUUCCUUUUCCAUUCUCUUAAAUGUCAUUUAGAAUAUUCUCUUUAGGUAUUGUUGACAGAUUGGCAAGUGUACCAAAUCGUACAAGUAAUAUAAAUGGUAAGACCAAGUAUCGUUUUUCCUAAGAGACUCGUAUGGCUUUCUCUUUCGCGUGAAUUAAAAUAAUAAGACUUGAAAAAUAAAAUUUAAUAAAUUGGAUUUUGAGGAUAAAAAUAUUAACAUGCAAAAUAAAUAUUGAUUCAAUUGUCAAGUGAAAACAAUGGAUGGAUGGAUGUUGUUGGGUACUAACAAUUUCAUCUAUUCCACUCUCUCUUACAUACUACCCUUGAUUAUUAGAUUGAUUCAAUUGUUAUGCGACUUUCUUAGCCUCCCCUUAACCCGAUCCCUCGGCGAAAAGGGCCUAAUAUCAAUUACCGGCUUGCUAUCCCUAGCCUCCCCUAGUAAUUAAUACCAGAUUAUAAACAAAAGUUAGCGCAAUUGAUCGUCCUACCCCUAUCCCUAGGUGGUAUUGCAAAAUCAAGAGAUUACUCACCAGUUCAUGUCAUUACCGCACGUCCCCAUGUCAAUAACGACAAACAACGAUAUACUGAAUGAGUUAAACGAUAAAAGCCUUAAGCACAGAUGAUAACCCAACAAUAAUCAAUC
rnacentral:lncRNA from 1 species